GUGUCAGCAGCCGCGGUAAGACAGAGGGUGCAAACGUUGCUCGGAAUUACUGGGCGUAAAGCGCGUGUAGGCUGACCGGAAAGUCGGGCGUGAAAUCCCUGGGCUCAACCCAGGAACUGCACUCGAAACUCCCGGUCUUGAGUGGUGGAGAGGGAAGUGGAAUUCCUGGUGUAGAGGUGAAAUUCGUAGAUAUCAGGAGGAACACCAGUGGCGAAGGCGGCUUCCUGGACACCAACUGACGCUGAGACGCGAAAGCGUGGGGAGCAAACAGGAUUAGAUACCCUGGUAGUCCACGCUGUAAACGAUGGGCACUAGGUGUCGCGGGUUUUGACCCCCGCGGUGCCGUAGCAAACGCGUUAAGUGCCCCGCCUGGGGAGUACGGCCGCAAGGCUAAA
rnacentral:rRNA from 1 species